GUACUAAUUGCUUGUAACUGCAAAAAAUAUUCUUUAUCUGAUUAAAACUGCCUAAGUAAAGAGAUGGUUCCCGAGAACAAAGAAAAGAAGUAAGAGCUUGGGGGGUGGGGGGAAUGCUACUAUUUCUGUUUCCUGAUUACCUUAUUCUGGACUUUAAAAUAAAUCAUCCACCUAGAAUAGUCUAUAAAUAGCACAAACAUUCACCACGGACAAACCAAGAGGGGACUUUGACCCACUUUCACUAUUAAGGCAAAACUUCCAUUGGUACCAGUGGGUUUGACCCUGGAACCUGCUUUUCUCUCUAGACUGUCAGAGCUCAGCUUUGCUGCCUGCUUGAAAAUGCCUCCUCUACAAAUUUUAGUAUUGGCAAGCUACCCUUUGGAAUGCUUCCUCCUCUGAGGAGGUUGCUCAGAGCUGUGCUGACGUCACUUGUAUUUACUCCCUAACUAGUAACAGUACUGGAUAUACAGUCAACAUUGUACCGGCUAGCACUUAUGGGGGAAAAAGAUGUGGAAAUGCAGGCAGUUCUACCAGAAGACUCAACUGCCCACCUUCUGCCCAGUGGGAGACAACGUGCUGCCUGAUUCUACGUGGUAUCAUGAGAUCACAGUCGUGUGGCUGCAAACCCCUUUCCCUAAUUAGAUUUCCCUUGGAAAUGCUCCCUCUUCGUCAUCGAGACAUUUCAAAGCUCACUUCUAUUUUUUCUUUUCUUUUUAUUUUUUUAAGCAGUGAGACAGCUGAUUUUUCCCAGCAUUUUUUCCCCUGUUAUGAAAAUGAUAACGAAACUAUUCCAUUACUCAUGUUCCUAUUGGCUCGCUGGAAACUGUGAGAGAGGGUUUGAUUCUAUUUUGUGUAAAAAAUAUGGAAAACCAGGUUAGGCUUUGUGUAGAGCAAGAA
rnacentral:lncRNA from 1 species